rnacentral:rRNA from 1 species
UACGUAGGUCGCAAGCGUUGUCCGGAUUUACUGGGCGUAAAGAGCGCGCAGGCGGCUGGUCAAGUCCGAUGUGAAAUCUCCCGGCUCAACUGGGAAACUGCAUCGGAAACUGAUCGGCUUGAAGGUGGGAGAGGGUAGUGGAAUUCCCGGUGUAGUGGUGAAAUGGGUAGAGAUCGGGAGGAACACCGGUGGCGAAGGCGGGUCUCUGGGCAAUUCCUGACGCUGAGGCGCGAAAGCGUGGGGAGCAAACGGG